GGGCCGAGGAACAUUACUGGAUGGAGAGGGAUGUGCUGUCUGUAAGCUAAGGAAAAAUGUUUCGUUCUUUCAAAUUCGGCUUCGCGACACUCCAGAAGGACGUGGAGCACGGUCAGCCUCUCCCCGCAUCUACCACAGGUUGGAGGCUCACUUCCGGAAUCUGUUGUCCACACAUUUGUAAGCAAGGAUCCGGAACUAGGCCUCUCUUCCUUGUAAACAGCACACAAGAACUUUUUUGAGGAUUGAUUUUAAAACCAUUUUUCUCUGCCCACCCUGACACCUUGUUCAAGCCAUGCUGUACCUGUCUCUCGCAUACUGCGAGGUUACAGGAUUUGAAGCCUAUUUGAAUGUCGUCCACAUAGACGGAAUACAAGAUGGCUGGUGGUAAGGACGCACGAAGCGUUGUCAUUUUAACAAUAAAAAGUGUGCAACUGA
rnacentral:lncRNA from 1 species